GAGGGUAUAGCUCAGUGGUAGAGUGUGUGCUUAGCAUACAUGAGGUCCUGGGUUCAAUCUCCAGUACCUCCA
rnacentral:tRNA from 1 species